GCUUCCGCCAUGGAGUUCAAACAAGGGGGUGUGGCUACUAAGGCUGAUGGGAAGGAUUAGGCGUGCCUCACCAAAAUGGCGCCCGCCAGAACUUGGAGCAAUGACGUGCUGAAGAACCCCGGGGACUGUGCGUUUAUUCAGCCGUGUGCCGACACAUGGAAGAUGGUGUCCGCUCAGCAGUGGAAAUAAAAUGAACACUGAAGACUUUUAGUUCUGACAUAUGAUGAUGUACCUUGAACUACCUUCCUAACAAAGGAGUUGAAUGCAACCAUAGGCAUAUUUAUAGUUAAUUGUAUUUUGAGAAUAUCAUGGUAUUUUAUACAGAGUUUUGGAUUUUCAAUGCAGUGAUUUGUAAAGUUGUUUCAUGUACAGUGAAGAAGAAGAAGAGUAUACAGUGUAUAUGUCCUUAUUACAAAUUGUAAAUGGGUAAUGUUUGCAGUGGUUUUAUGUUCAUGUGUUUUUUUGCAGUGAUAAACUAACUGAAGGCUUGAAGUGAUAGCAAAUAUUUGGCCUUUGAUAGUAAAACCCUGCAUGGAAGUUUCAACCGCGAACUUAAAACCACUGCCAACACUCCAUUUUCUCCCUUUCACAGUAGUACAUGUUUUAAAAUAAUCCCUUAUCAAGCUUUGUAAUUGAUGAUUUCAGAACUUUUUAAUUAUGUUUAGCUUCCUUUUUAGAGUUGACUAUGAUAAAUAACUGACUGCCUAUAUGCUUGAGGGAGAAGAAGGAUUUAUAAUAAUAGUACUAAUGAUAAGUAUCAAAAGUUCUUGGAAAUUAUUGCCUGAGGGCUAAUUACAAGUGAGAAAAAUGACGAACAAACAAUGGUAAACAGUACAGUAAGUGACCACUCUAGUCUAAAGUCUAACUCUAAGAUGUUACUUAUUCAUAACCAAUGCUAUUCAUUUAUUCUUAUAUAUAGUACAAUGAAGCACUACUUUGCCAGUGUUUUGAAAGUUGUCAAAUUGAAAGUCAUUGAUAUUUUGUGUUUGUUGGUUUUAACAAUGAUAUACUGAAACAGUAAUGGUAUCUUUGGCAAUAGGAAUUCUAUUCAUGAGCAUUUCCUGUAAUAGAAUGCUGUUUCAUUGAGUAAAACAAUGUUGGGUUAUGUGUGAAAUAUAGACCAACUUUACACGGUGUAGUGUAACAUGGAUAGAAUGUAUGAAAUGAGCCUUCCCUACAGUAUGUAGAUAUAUUUUCCACAUCAACAGCUGUUGGUACUUUGCUAUGAUAGUGCUUGUGUGAGCUUGUCACAGCUACAUGUAUGCCCAAUAAGAAAUAACCAGCUUUUGGCAAUUUUUCCAUGUGUUUUUCUUAUUGCAGAUUAAAAAGUGAACCAAAAGUCU